UACGGGGGAUGCAAGCGUUAUCCGGAUUUAUUGGGUUUAAAGGGUGCGUAGGCGGACUGGAAAGUCAGCGGUAAAAUCGAGAGGCUCAACCCCUUUAAGCCGUUGAAACUGGUGAUCUUGAGUGGGCGAGAAGUAUGCGGAAUGCGUGGUGUAGCGGUGAAAUGCAUAGAUAUCACGCAGAACUCCGAUUGCGAAGGCAGCAUACCGGCGCCCGACUGACGCUGAGGCACGAAAGCGUGGGGAUCGAACAGG
rnacentral:rRNA from 1 species